ACUAACUGGAGGACCGAACCGACUAAUGUUGAAAAAUUAGCGGAUGACCUGUGGCUGGGGGUGAAAGGCCAAUCAAACCGGGAGAUAGCUGGUUCUCCCCGAAAGCUAUUUAGGUAGCGCCUCGUGAAUUCAUCUCCGGGGGUAGAGCACUGUUUCGGCUAGGGGGCCAUCCCGGCUUACCAACCCGAUGCAAACUGCGAAUACCGGAGAAUGUUAUCACGGGAGACACACGGCGGGUGCUAACGUCCGUCGUGAAGAGGGAAACAACCCAGACCGCCAGCUAAGGUCCCAAAGUCAUGGUUAAGUGGGAAACGAUGUGGGAAGGCCCAGACAGCCAGGAUGUUGGCUUAGAAGCAGCCAUCAUUUAAAGAAAGCGUAAUAGCUCACUGGUCGAGUCGGCCUGCGCGGAAGAUGUAACGGGGCUAAACCAUGCACCGAAGCUGCGGCAGCGACACUGUGUGUUGUUGGGUAGGGGAGCGUUCUGUAAGCCUGUGAAGGUGUGUCGUGAGGCAUGCUGGAGGUAUCAGAAGUGCGAAUGCUGACAUAAGUAACGAUAAAGCGGGUGAAAAGCCCGCUCGCCGGAAGACCAAGGGUUCCUGUCCAACGUUAAUCGGGGCAGGGUGAGUCGACCCCUAAGGCGAGGCCGAAAGGCGUAGUCGAUGGGAAACGGGUUAAUAUUCCCGUACUUGGUGUUACUGCGAAGGGGGGACGGAGAAGGCUAUGUUGGCCGGGCGACGGUU
rnacentral:rRNA from 1 species